AUCCCAUCAACGAUUUCAUGGAUCCUAUCCCUAAAUCGAUCCUAUCCCUAAACCCAAUUCCCUCCCUAAACGAUUUCAUCGAUCCUAUCCCUAAACCUAAUUCCCUCCCUAAACGAUUUCCCUAACCCAAUUUGAUUUCUUCCCUAACCCAAUUCGAUUUCAUAAACCUAAACGAUUUCAUCGCCAACGGAUUUUGAAGAAUACAGAUUCUAUUUAAUCCCUAAAUAUUCUGAGAUGAUAUCAAUUGAGAUGAUAUUGACUCCAAUAGAAUUUAGAGAUGCAUAUAUAAUUGACAUGUUCUUCAAUCCAUUAGUGUCAGUCCAGAAUCUAGAGGAGUUCAAUCAGGUGGUUAGUUGGAAUUUGAAGGAGGGCGUGGUUGGAUGCUCUAAUCUAUGCUAUUACAGUGGUCAAAAUUUGAAAUAGCAGUUAGGACCGUGAUUGAUAUAGCGGUUAUGGCAAUGGUAAAACGGUGAUAUAACGGUCAAAGUAUUGCGGUUCAUGUAUUCAUUACAAUAAAAAAGACGCAAUAUAUAUCUUGAUAUAUUCUAU